AACGUAGGUCCCGAGCGUUAUCCGGAUUUACUGGGCGUAAAGCGCGUUCAGGCGGUUUCACAAGUCGGGCAUGAAAUCUCUCGGCUCAACCGGGAGGGGCUGUCCGAUACUGUGAGACUUGAGGGCAGUAGAGGGUGGUGGAAUUCCGGGUGUAGUGGUGAAAUGCGUAGAGAUCCGGAGGAACACCAGUGGCGAAAGCGGCCACCUGGACUGUACCUGACGCUCAAACGCGAAAGCUAGGGGAGCGAACGGG
rnacentral:rRNA from 1 species